AAUCUGGUUGAUCCUGCCAGUAGUUAUAUGCUUGUUCUAAAGAUUAAGCCAUGCAUGUGUCAGAAUAUGUCUGUACAGACGAAUCUGCAGACGGCUCAUUACAACAGUAAUCACAUAUUUGACGUUUAUCACACGGAUAACCGUGGGAAACCAAGGCUAAUACGGUUGAAAGCCGCAACUGCGUUAGUGGGUGUGUAGUAUUUCCUGUUGUCUAAAUCAAAUGCGCGUAGCGUGUGCGAGGAAUCGCAGGAACUUUUCGAGUCGAAUAAUUGAUACGUCAUUUCGGUUUCUGACCUAUCAGCUUUCGACGGUAGGGUAUUGGCCUACCGUGGCUAUGACGGGUAAUGGUGCAUGGCCGUUCUUAGUUGGUGGAUUGAUUUGUCUGGUUGAUUCCGACAACGAACGAGACCUUAGCCUA
rnacentral:rRNA from 1 species